rnacentral:lncRNA from 1 species
UCCGAAAUGGUAUAAGCAAUUUAUUGGUUUUGGAAUAUUGUAUACUCUUGGCCUGAAUCUGAUUAAUAUGAAAGCAAAAUUGAUAUCAAUUCCGUUGUCGUCCAGCGAUUAGGAUAUCUGGCUUUCACCCAGGAGACCCGGGUUCGAUUCCCGGCAACUUCAUGCUCUUACAUUGCUUCACAAGAUCGGUAUAAUAUGAUUGGUCUCUCACAACCUCAAUAAAGAAAAAAAACUCAAUAUAUAUAUAUAUAUCAGCCUUUUCUCUUAAAGAAUCUAGCCACAACUGGAUGAUAGUGUAGACUCAGGUGGAAUGAAUCACUAUCAUAAAUUAUCAGGAAAUUUCUUUAUAAGCAGUCUUGUGAUUGGAACUUGAAGUGUAAUAUGACAGGUCCGUAAGUGCACGGAAAUAUCGGUUUUAGUAUAAAAAAUGUUAAAUUUCAUUAAGUACCAUUAUCUAUUGUCACGUUGUUUAUCUAAGGCGAUGUAAAUUAAUUUGGUUGCAAAAUUGGGAAAAUAAUUUGUUUUUAAUUACUUUAAAUGACGA